rnacentral:rRNA from 1 species
GAACGCUGGCGGCGUGCCUAACACAUGCAAGUCGAGCGGAGAACAUCAGAUGUUUACAUUGAAGUGUUCUUAGCGGCGGACGGGUGAGUAACACGUGGGUAACCUGCCCUUGAGCGGGGAAUAAGCUCCCGAAAGGGAGUCUAAUGCCGCAUAACGUUUCAUAACGAUGGUUAUGAAACCAAAGCCCAAAAGGCGCUUGAGGAGGGGCCUGCGUCCUAUCAGCUUGUUGGCAGGGUAACGGCCUACCAAGGCUAUG